GUGACAAUUUUGGCUACGGUGACUGCCACGGGUCAUAGCAUGACAUUAGUUCAUCUGGCUAAAUUCUCUGAAGAUAUUGGUAUUGAUAGCUAUCGAUCAUCCUGGUUGUACUUCAUCAUUGGAUUCAGCUCAACAACAUCUAGACUUCUUGUUGGAAAAUUUGGAAAAGUCGGYCCACUUUCUCUUCUAGAUAUAGCCCUUCUUGGUAAUGUUAUUCUCGCUUUGGGGAAUUUUGUUCUACCGUCAACAUCAGUGUACUAUGGAAUGGUGCURUAUUCCAUUGGUUACGGUGUAGGGGAGGGGUUAGUAUACACGCCAAUUUUUAACAUUGCAAUUGAUAGCGUACCAGCUGAUAAAAGGGGUAGUGGUUAUGGUAUUUUCCAGAUGUGUUAUUGCUUGGCGUAUCUCAUUGGACCUAUUUUAUCAGGCACCAGUGCUCAGGACCCGGCAACAAUAGGAAGAAUAAAAUGGUGGGAACUAGCGGUGAACUAGUGUGAGCUGCGUCGGUGUUUCUAAAGAAACAGUUGUGUAGAAAGAUAAAUUUAACACCGUAAAAAAAGUUUUAUAGCAGACGUAAGUGGAUCAUACAACAAUGCCUUCUACACUGCUGGCUCGCUAGAAGUCUUUGCUGGAUGUCUGUAUAUUUUAACUCGUUGUAUUCCAUCAUCAAAUAGAGAAGUUAUUUUGGAUGGGACUUUGGAUACCCAACUUGUAGUAGUUGAGAAAGAAACUGUACUUUAGAGUUAAGAAAGAUCUCUUCRCAUACAUUCUGGAUUUUCUUCUUGAUAUCUUUCUGCCCUGUAGUUACUACGUCUCUGCUUGGACAUUACUGUCUAAUUCAUGUCAAUUCAUUUCAUGCCCGUGAAACACGUCUAACUGUUUAAAAGUGAAGUCAAAUGGACACAAUAAAAAAUAAUGCAAUUAAAGCACA